rnacentral:rRNA from 1 species
UACGUAGGUGGCAAGCGUUAUCCGGAAUUAUUGGGCGUAAAGCGCGCGCAGGUGGUUUCUUAAGUCUGAUGUGAAAGCCCACGGCUCAACCGUGGAGGGUCAUUGGAAACUGGGAGACUUGAGUACAGAAGAGGAAAGUGGAAUUCCAUGUGUAGCGGUGAAAUGCGUAGAGAUAUGGAGGAACACCAGUGGCGAAGGCGACUUUCUGGUCUGUAACUGACACUGAGGGGCGAAAGCGUGGGGAGCAAACAGG